rnacentral:rRNA from 1 species
UGGCUCAGGAUGAACGCUGGCGGCGUGCUUAACACAUGCAAGUCGAACGAAGCACCUCUAAUCGAAGAUUGAGAAAGCUUGCUUUGAUUGAUUCACCUUGAGGUGACUGAGUGGCGGACGGGUGAGUAACGCGUGGGUAACCUACCCUAUACAGGGGGAUAACAGUUGGAAACGACUGCUAAUACCGCAUAAGCGCACAGGACCGCAUGGUCUAGUGUGAAAAAACUCCGGUGGUAUAGGAUGGACCCGCGUCUGAUUAGCUAGUUGGUGAGGUAACGGCUCACCAAGGCGACGAUCAGUAGCCGACCUGAGAGGGUGACCGGCCACAUUGGGACUGAGACACGGCCCAAACUCCUACGGGAGGCAGCAGUGGGGAAUAUUGCACAAUGGGCGAAAGCCUGAUGCAGCGACGCCGCGUGAACGAAGAAGUAUUUCGGUAUGUAAAGUUCUAUCAGCAGGGAAGAAAAAUGACGGUACCUGACUAAGAAGCUCCGGCUAAAUACGUGCCAGCCGCCGC